rnacentral:rRNA from 1 species
UACAGAGGGUGCAAGCGUUGUUCGGAAUUAUUGGGCGUAAAGCGCGUGUAGGCGGUCUUGUAAGUCUGAUGUGAAAGCCUGCGGCUUAACCGCAGAAGUGCGUUGGAAACUGCAAGACUAGAGUGUCUGAGGGGGUGGCGGAAUUCCAGAAGUAGAGGUGAAAUUCGUAGAUAUCUGGAGGAACACCAGUGGCGAAGGCGGCCACCUGGAAGACAACUGACGCUGAGACGCGAAAGCGUGGGUAGCAAACAGG